rnacentral:rRNA from 1 species
UUUAUGGAGAGUUUGAUCCUGGCUCAGGAUGAACGCUGGCGGCGUGCCUAAUACAUGCAAGUCGAGCGAACGGACGAGAAGCUUGCUUCUCUGAUGUUAGCGGCGGACGGGUGAGUAACACGUGGAUAACCUACCUAUAAGACUGGGAUAACUUCGGGAAACCGGAGCUAAUACCGGAUAAUAUUUUGAACCGCAUGGUUCAAAAGUGAAAGACGGUCUUGCUGUCACUUAUAGAUGGAUCCGCGCUGCAUUAGCUAGUUGGUAAGGUAACGGCUUACCAAGGCAACGAUGCAUAGCCGACCUGAGAGGGUGAUCGGCCACACUGGAACUGAGACACGGUCCAGACUCCUACGGGAGGCAGCAGUAGGGAAUCUUCCGCAAUGGGCGAAAGCCUGACGGAGCAACGCCGCGUGAGUGAUGAAGGUCUUCGGAUCGUAAAACUCUGUUAUUAGGGAAGAACAUAUGUGUAAGUAACUGUGCACAUCUUGACGGUACCUAAUCAGAAAGCCACGGCUAACUACGUGCCAGCAGCCGCGGUAAUACGUAGGUGGCAAGCGUUAUCCGGAAUUAUUGGGCGUAAAGCGCGCGUAGGCGGUUUUUUAAGUCUGAUGUGAAAGCCCACGGCUCAACCGUGGAGGGUCAUUGGAAACUGGAAAACUUGAGUGCAGAAGAGGAAAGUGGAAUUCCAUGUGUAGCGGUGAAAUGCGCAGAGAUAUGGAGGAACACCAGUGGCGAAGGCGACUUUCUGGUCUGUAACUGACGCUGAUGUGCGAAAGCGUGGGGAUCAAACAGGAUUAGAUACCCUGGUAGUCCACGCCGUAAACGAUGAGUGCUAAGUGUUAGGGGGUUUCCGCCCCUUAGUGCUGCAGCUAACGCAUUAAGCACUCCGCCUGGGGAGUACGACCGCAAGGUUGAAACUCAAAGGAAUUGACGGGGACCCGCACAAGCGGUGGAGCAUGUGGUUUAAUUCGAAGCAACGCGAAGAACCUUACCAAAUCUUGACAUCCUUUGACAACUCUAGAGAUAGAGCCUUCCCCUUCGGGGGACAAAGUGACAGGUGGUGCAUGGUUGUCGUCAGCUCGUGUCGUGAGAUGUUGGGUUAAGUCCCGCAACGAGCGCAACCCUUAAGCUUAGUUGCCAUCAUUAAGUUGGGCACUCUAAGUUGACUGCCGGUGACAAACCGGAGGAAGGUGGGGAUGACGUCAAAUCAUCAUGCCCCUUAUGAUUUGGGCUACACACGUGCUACAAUGGACAAUACAAAGGGCAGCGAAACCGCGAGGUCAAGCAAAUCCCAUAAAGUUGUUCUCAGUUCGGAU